ACACUUCAUCACUAGCCAUUAGUCUUCAAGUCUGACAGAAGAAGAAGAAAGAAGAGAGUAGAACUGACCACCUCCUCCACUGGCCUCUCCAUCCCUACUAACAAAUGUGUGGAACACAUGGUCAGAGUCCGAACCCCCCCUCCCCAACUACCAGGGGACCAGUGGAGCCAGCCUGUCUGCUGCUGUAUUUGUGCAGAGCUAGGAGGUCUGGGAGGGAGACCCAGUUUCCUGGCCUGGGAAAAUACCAUCAGUCUGAAGGAGGAGGGGCAGAGGGAAGAAUAUACAACUUAGGAGUCCAUCAUCUCUUACACAUGGUGACCCAAGGGCCUGAUGAUGGACAGGGGGUGUCCUUUAUAUGCAAGAAAAAUGCACAUAAAAGCAGGUCAGGCCCUGGGAGUAGCACAAGGACCUUCAAGUUGUCCAUACUGUUCUGAAGCUUCUCUCAAGUUCAGUUCAACAUCUGUAACCUUCCAGCCCUCAACUUUCGGCUCACCUGUGAAAAUCGGUGUACAACUUUGGAGUUCAAACAACAAGUCAAAGAAAGCAGAGAGUGAAUUAAGGUGUGCAAAGAGCAGACUCAGACCAGUUAGCUGAAGGUCCUCUUGAACAGAGGUGAGUGUUUGCAACGGACAUAUUUCACAUUAAUGAAUAUGGAAUUAUGUA